rnacentral:lncRNA from 10 species
GUGAGGCGACGCUGUCUGACUCAUCGUCCCUGUACCUCCCAAAGCCACUGCCCUCCCACACCUGGGCAACAGUGGCCCCAACCCCAGGCCCAGCCCUCUUGCAGGAAGGAAGAGGACUGAAUGGAGGGCGUGGCAGGCUGAAAGGACGUGGCUUCCUCAAACCCCUUGGUAAAGGGCCUCUGGGGCCACCUGGCAGGGAGGGGCUGGCACACCAGGAAGUAGCCUUCUCCCGGGAGUUCAGCUAGAGCCCAGGUCCUGUCCCCAAGUGGCCUCCAGAGCCACCUUUUCAGAAAAGGUACACCCCGCCCACCCCUGUUCCCCCUGCAUAAGGCCCCGCCUCCUCCCUGAGCCUCCUGCUGGCCUCUCACCUAGAAGCGGGGGUAGUCCUCGGCCCUCCAGCCAGGGGAUGCAGACCUGGAUGUGCUGGAAAUGCUUCUGGUGGAUGAGGCGGCUGUAAUACUCCCUCAGAGGCCCUUUGCCUUCACAGAGAAGAGCAGACACUGCCAUGAACCCGUCUCUGUCCCUGCCACAUAGCCCCAGGCCCAAGACACUCCCCCCUAGGAGGGAUCCUUUUCCCAGAAGCUCCACCCCUCGGCAGCUGCAGUCAGGCCCUAUCUGGGCCUUUCCAGAAGCAACUCAGGAGCCCCAAGACCUGCAGGGGACUUACUGUCUUGUCAUCCCCUGGACCCAAGAUGAGGGUGCUAGGACGCCCUCCCACACCACCCCAGCUUACCCAGGGGCACACCUCAGGAAAUUUCCCCUAAAGACCUGAGGAAUCACCGAAUGAAAGGGGCUUUUUACAAACUGGAAACUUAAGUGGAGUGCCAAUACACAACAUGGAUUGCACCAGGCUAGGUCUAAGAUAAAACCAGACUGUGGACAACAGGACAGAUAAGACACACAUGGCUCUGCACUGCCUGGGUCUGUUAUUGUGUGGAGGAAUGUCUUAGUCUGUUGCUCCUGUGGGUGUCGCUAAAGCACGAACCAGGGGUCUUCAUCCUUAGAAAGCAGUUAGACACCUGAGAACCAAUCCCAAACUGCAGCCUUCCACAGAACCUUCUGGAACCUUCUGGAAUGCAACUCAUUACUGCCAGAGGCUCUUUGAUGAGAGUCUACUCUCCACCAUUUGUCUUCAAAGAGAAUACCCACAUAUUAUCUUUCUGUGGAAAGGCUUGGAAAUCUAGUGUAUAUUUUACACUAAGAGCAUAUCUCAAUUAAGAUGGCCACAUCUCAAGUGCCCAGUAGCCACAUGUGGCCUGAGGCCAUGACUCUGGGCAGUACAGCUUUAGGUCAAGCGUGCCUCACAAAGGGACCAGUGGAGGUGCCUCAGUUUACUUGGGAGCUUGGCCUCUCCAGCUUGCCCUCCUACUGCCUGGAAGAAGAUUAGUGUCCUCUUGCCUUCUCUAGCCCCUUUCCCAAGAACCCUCCCAGAAUUUCGUCCUAUGAAGGGCCAGGGGUGCAAGGAGUCACCCACACAAUGACAGGACCCACCAGCAAUACCAGAAGUUGGCUAGCCCUACUCAUCCAAAUUCCCUUCUGCCAGCUGGACAUCACAAGGAUUUCAGACUGCCAUCCUGUGACAACUCCAUUUUGGGGUCUGGGGAUGUAAGGGUUACUGUAUUAGUCCAUUCUCACUCUGCUAAUAAAGACAUACCUGAGACUGGGUAAUUUAUAAAGAAAAAGAGGUUUAAUGGACUCACAGAGCCACAUGACUGGGGAGGCCUCAUGAUUAUGGCAGAAGGUGGAGGAGGAGCAAAGUCACAUCUUACAUGGCAGCAGGCAAGAGAGUUGUGCAGGGGAGCUCCCCUUUAUAAAACCAUUAGAUCAGGCAGGGAACAGUGACUCACAUCUCUAAUCACAGCACUUUGGGAAGCCAAGGUGCGUGGAUCACCUGAGAUCGGGAGUUUGAGACCAGCCUGGCCAAAAUGUUGAAACCCCAUCUCUAAUAAAAAUACAAAAAUUAGCCAGGCGUAAUGGCUCAUGCCUGUUGUCCCAGAUUCUUGGGAGGCUGAGGCACGAAAAUUGCUUAAAUCCAGGAGGCAGAGGUUGCAGUGAGCUGAGAUCAAGCCACUGCACUCCAGCCUGGGCAACAGAGUGAGACUCGGUCUCAGAAAAAGAAAAAAAGAAUUAGAUCUUGUGAGACUUAUUCAAUGUCAUGGGAACAGCAGGGGAAAGACCCACCCCGUGAUUUAGUUACCUCCCACUAGGUCCCUCCCACAGCAUGUGGUGAUUAUGGGAACUACAAUUAGAGAUUUGGGUGGGGACACAGCCACACCAUAUCACUUACUGAGCUGGGCAUCUUCUUCCUUGAAUGCAUAUUGGCCACUGAGGCACUUCCUGGUUAACCUCAUUCCACAGCUAAGAAAACCCAGGCUUGGCACAGGCAAGGGAUCUGACGCAACGUCUCCCAUCUUAUUAGUGGAAGGACCAAGACUGGACCCACAACUGUGCUCCUGUUUUGAGUCACCAUGUGGCCCCCAAGAUCAGAUCUCAAAACAAGCAGACAUGGGGGCUCAGAAAGUCCCCAGCCUAGAACUUUCCUGUCAACCCAAUGACACUAAAGGCUAAGCUGGCUGCUUAUUAUUCUGGAUUCACACUAGAAUGACCUUGGGGUGUGUUUUACACAUGCCGAUGUCUGGAGUUUCACCCCCAGCUAACUGACUAUGAAUCUCUGGGUUGGGGCCUGGGCACUGAUGUUCAUGCAGAGCUUCUGAGAUGAUCCUAUUGCAUUGCCAAGGUCGACACCUGCAGAAACAUUGCACUUUUUCAUUCAUUUAAUUAUUAAAUAUGUAAUAUUUAUUAUUAUUUUUCCAGACAUGGAAGUGUUGCAAAAAUAGUACAAAGACAUCCUUUAUACCCUUCGCUGAGAUUCCCCAGUGCUACCAUUUUACCCCAUUUGCUUUAUUAUUUUCCAAGUGGCAGAAGAGUUAUCCUUUACCCCUAAAUAUUCCUGUGUAUUCCUUAAUAACAAGGACUUUCUCUUAUAUAACCAAGGCAAUGAUCAAAAUCAGGAAACUAACCCUGCUACAAUACGGUUUUCUAAUGGACCUCAUUCAGAUUUCGCCAGUUAACCCAAUGAUGUACAUUGGAGCAAACGAUCAUCCCAGAUCAUGCAUUAUUUUCAGUUGUUGUGUCUCUGUAGGUACCUUUUAGCCUGGAACAGAUCCUCAGUUUUUCUUUAUCUUUCAUGGUAUUGGCAUUCUUGAAGAACGCAAGACGGUUAUUUGAUAGAAUGUCCCUUACUUUGGAUUUGGCUGAUGUUUCUUGGCGGUGAUAUUCUUAUGCAUUUGGGGUGGGACUAUCACAGCAAUGGUGUCAUGUUCUCUGUGCAUUGCAUCAGGAGGGACAUGUUGAUGGUUUACCCCAUUACACCAAAGUGAAUGUUGAUCGUUCAGUGAAGGUGGGAGCAGGUUCAUUUCAUUAUAUUGCAGAAGCCAUCAUCAGCCAUACUCGCUCUGGUUAACCGGUCAUCUUAUGUAGCCAUUUAUCUAACAAGGCUGUAAGGAUCUUGAACUCAGGGUAAGCAAGCCUUAAAGCAGAAGAGAAGAAAGAAAGGAAGGUUCUGGAACCUGGAGCUUUGGCAAAGGGGGCAGGUGUGGGGAACGCACCACCAAAGUUGCUCCUGGCAUUAGGAUGAAGAGGAAGGAGAACAUUCUAUCUAGAAGGGGUUUGGGGUUAGCCAGAGGGGUGUGGGAGAGUCAGAGUCUGCCCACUUGUGGUUUUGCUGAGGGCUACACUGUGGUAGACAGGUCUUUCAUUGCUGCUUUUGAAAAUUUUGUUUCACAAUCCUUCAUCUAAAACAGAGCAAUUUCCUUUUUCUACGUUUUGGCCCACUUUGCUUCAUCUGUCUUCUCUUCUCUUACUUUUAGAGACAGGGCCUUGCUCUGUGGACCAGGCAGGAGUGCAGUGAUGUGAUCAUAGGUCACUGCAGCCUUGACCUCCUGGGCUCAAGCAAUCCUCCUGCCUUAGCCUCCUGAGUAGCUGGGACUACAGGUGUGCACCACUGCACCUGGCUAAUUUAUUUUAUUUAGUUUAGUUGUUGUAGAGACGAGGUCUCACUUUGUUGCCCAGGCUGAUCUUGGACUCUUGGCUUCAAGGGAUCCUCCCGCCUUGGCCUCCCAAAGUGUUGAGAUGACAGGCAUGAGCCACCAUGCCCACCUCUGUCUUUUCUCUUGGGAUUAAUGACUUCCACAUUCGCUCCAGGAAUAAUUUCUGUGAAGGUGAUGCCUGGCUUGACACUUGUGGUAACUCCCGUUGUUUAUCUAUUGCUUAUCUCCAGAACCCAUUUGAUGCUUCCUACUUCAAAGUGCGCUAGCGCCUGUCAGCUGGAAGGCAUCCCCUGAGCUGCUGACAAACAAGGCCUUUUUACCCACAGAUUAACCUCUUAUUUGUUUUAAUAAAUGAUCAAAAGUUGGUUUGCCUCCUGUGCGUAUGUUGGUUGGGGCCAAGAGGGGAUCGUGGUGAUUUCUGUCCACCUGGGACCU